AACGAACGCUGGCGGCAUGCCUAACACAUGCAAGUCGAACGAGACCUUCGGGUCUAGUGGCGCACGGGUGCGUAACGCGUGGGAACCUGCCCUUAGGUUCGGAAUAACUCCCCGAAAGGGGUGCUAAUACCGGAUAAUGUCUUCGGACCAAAGAUUUAUCGCCUUUGGAUGGGCCCGCGUUGGAUUAGCUAGUUGGUAGGGUAAAAGCCUACCAAGGCGACGAUCCAUAGCUGGUCUGAGAGGAUGAUCAGCCACACUGGGACUGAGACACGGCCCGGAAUCCUACGGGAGGCAGCAGUGGGGAAUAUUGGACAAUGGGCGGAAGCCUGAUCCAGCAAUGCCGCGUGAGUGAUGAAGGCCUUAGGGUUGUAAAGCUCUUUUACCCGGGAUGAUAAUGACAGUACCGGGAGAAUAAGCUCCGGCUAACUACGUG
rnacentral:rRNA from 1 species